CCUACGGGUGGCAGCAGUGGGGAAUAUUGGACAAUGGGCGAAAGCCUGAUCCAGCCAUGCCGCGUGUGUGAAGAAGGCCUUCGGGUUGUAAAGCACUUUCAGUGGGGAAGAAAGCCUUGGGGCUAAUACCCUCGAGGAAGGACAUCACCCACAGAAGAAGCACCGGCUAACUCCGUGCCAGCAGCCGCGUUAAUACGGAGGGUGCGAGCGUUAAUCGGAAUUACUGGGCGUAAAGCGCGCGUAGGCGGUCUGAUAAGCCGGUUGUGAAAGCCCCGGGCUCAACCUGGGAACGGCAUCCGGAACUGGCAGGCUAGAGUGCAGGAGAGGAAGGUAGAAUUCCCGGUGUAGCGGUGAAAUGCGUAGAGAUCGGGAGGAAUACCAGUGGCGAAGGCGGCCUUCUGGACUGACACUGACGCUGAGGUGCGAAAGCGUGGGUAGCAAACAGGAUUAGAUACCCUAGUAGUC
rnacentral:rRNA from 1 species